AUGCAACUUAAGACUUGUAUUACUUUCCUGAAGAGGAAGGGAUUGUCUUUCUCUUCCAGUUGUUUUCAAUGGAAUUAUUUCAGGCAAAAGCAUCUGAAGAGUCACUCUCUGCCUCCUGCUCUUCCAGGGCCUUGUCGAAGGCGUGGAUGGGGAAGUUGUAGAUGUCACCAUAUGUAUCCUGUUUCAGUCUCUCCAGCAACUCUUUUUCGAUGGCAUUGUCAAGCUGAGCAGCUAUUAAUGCCUUUUCCUCUCUUCGUUUUUCCCUCCACUUCACCUUCUUACUCAAAGGAACAAGUUUCCUCUGUCGCUUAAGUGUAAGUUUUCAAAUUCGAAUCAGGUACUAGGUGAUCUUGGUGAAUCUCUGCCUACAUUUGUGUCAAAUGAAACGGGGCCAGUAAAUUAGGUUUUCAUCUAUUUGCUCCAGUGCUUUCUUACAGUUUUUAUGAAGCCGGACCCGUUCCCAGAGACACCUGGGGAAAGCUGUUCAUUCUAUAACCUUCAUAUACAAGUAGCACUGUCCUUUCUCUUCUUUGAUAGUGGCAUACUGACUGUUUGUCAGGGGACAGGAUGACUAAUUACACAGUCUAGUCAGGCUAUAUUCAUUUCUGCAGAAACUCUGAGUCAUGGUUCUUAUUUUGAAGGAACAAAAUUGCUUGUUUCCUAGUAUAUCCCAGAUAAUAUCGUCCGACUGCAUUUCAUCAGCAGUUCACCAGGUAGAGCUGGGUCAAUCGAGGGGAGCAGCCAUGCUACUUCCAGAGAAUCCCCUGUUGGUUAUUUAGAAAUGUGUUGUUUAAUCUCCAUGUGUUUGUGUUUCUUACAGUUUUUUUCUUGUAAUUGAUAUCUUGUCUCAUAGCAUUGUGGUAGGAGAAGAUGCUUGAUAUGAUUUCAAUUUUCUUAAAUUUAAUGAGGUUUGAUUUGUGACCCAGGAUAUAGAAUGUUCCAUGUGCACUUGGUAGUCUUCUGCAUUUGGAUGGAAUGUCCUAAAGAUAUCAAUGAGAUCUCAUCUAAUGUAUUAUUUAAGACUUGUGUUUCCUUAUUAAUUUUCUGUUUUGAUGAUCUGCCCAUUGGUGUGAUUGGGGUGUUAAAGUCUCCUACUAUUACUCUAUUACUGUCAAUUUCUCCUUUUAUGUCUGUUAGUGUUUGUCUUAUGAAUUGAAGUGCUCUUAUGUUGGAUACCUAGAUAUUUACAAUUGUUAUGUCUUCCUCUUGGGUUGAUCUCUUGAUCAUUAUGUAGUGUCCUUAUCUCUCAUAAUAUUCUUUAUUUUAAGGUCUGUUUUGUCUGAUGUGAGGAUUGCUACUCCAGCUUUCUUUUGCUUCCAAUUUGCAUGAAAUAUAUUUUUCCAUCCUCUCACUUUCAAUCUAUAUGUGUCUUUAGGUCUGAAGUGAGUUUCUCGUAGACAGCACAUAUAUGGGUCUUGUUUUUUGUAUCCAUUCAGCCAGUCUGUGUCCUUUGGUUGGAACAUUUAAUCCAUUUACAUUUAAAGUAAUUAUUGAUAUAUAUGUUCCUAUUGCCAUUUUCUUAAUUGUUUGGGGUUGAUUUUGUAGAUCCUUUUUCUUCUCUUGUAUUUCUUAACUAUAUAAGUCCCUUUAACAUUUAUUGUAAAGCUGGUUUGGUGGUACUGAAUUCUCUUAACUUUUGCUUGUCUGAAAAGCUUUUUAUUUAUCCAUCAAUUUUGAAUGAGAUCCUUGCUGGGUACAGUAAUCUUGGUUGUAGAUUUUUCCCUUUCAGUACUUGAAAUAUAUCCUACCAUUCCCUUCAGGCCUGCAGAGUUUCUGCUGAAAGUGUAUAGGGUUUCUCUUAAGCAUAUGGGGUUUCCCUUGUAUGUUACUUGUUGCUUUUCCCUUGCUGCUUUUAAUAUUCUUUCUCUGUGUUUUGUCUUUGUUAGUUUGAUUAGUAUGUGUCUUGGCAUGUUUCUCCUUGGGUUCAUUCUGUAUGGGACUCUUUGUGCCUCUUGGACUUGAUUGAUUAUUUCCUUUUCCAUGUUGGGGAAAUUUUCAACUAUAAUCUCUUCAAAAAUUUUUUCACACCCUUUCUUUCUCUCUUCUUCUUCUGGGACCCCUGUAAUUUGAAUGUUGGUGUAUUUGAUAUUGUCCCAGAGGUCUCUGAGACUGUCCUCGGUUCUUUUCAUUCUUUUUACUUUAUUUUGCUCUUCAGAAGUUAUUUCCACAGUUCUAUCUUCCAGCUCACUGAUGUGUUCUUCUGUUUCAGAUAUUCUGCUAUUGAUUCCUUCUAGAGUAUUUUUAAUUUCAGUUAUUGUGUUGUUUGUCUCUGUAUGUUUACUCUUUAAUUCUUCUAGGUCUUUGUUAAUUCUUGCAUUUUCUCCAUUUUCUUUUCAAGAUUUUUGAUCAUCUUUACUGUCAUUAUUCUGAAUUCUUUUUCAAGUGGUUUGCCUAUUUCCUCUUCAUUUAUUUGGACUUCUGUGUUUCUAACUUGUUCCUUCAUUUGUGUAGUAUUUCUCUGCCUUUUCAUUAUUUUUUUUAACUUGCUGUGUUUGAGGUUGCCUUUUCCCAGGCUUCAAGGCUGAAUUCUUUCUUCCUUUUCAUUUCUUCCCUCCUAAGCUUAGUCCAGGGGUUUGUGUAAGGUUCGUAUAGAGUGAGAUUUGUGCUGAGUUUUUGUUAGUUUAUUUGCUUACUUCCCUGGUGGCUCAGACGGUAAAGCAUCUGUCUACAAUGCAGGAUACCUGGAUUCAAUCCCUGGGUCAGGAAGAUCUGCUGGAGAAGGAAAUAGCCACUCCAGUACUAUUGCCUGGAAAAUUCCAUGGACAGAGGAGCUUGGUAGGCUACUGUCCACGGGGUCACAAAGAGUCAGACAUGACUGAGUGACUUCACUUUCUGAUGGGCAAGACUGAGUGAGGUGGUAAUCCUUUCAUCAGGCAUUUUAUCUCCCUUAUUUUUUUUGUUUCCAUCCUCACACUUUAUUAUCUUAACAAAUGCAGUGGUUUCUCUUGAAUUAUUAUUAUAGAAAAUUUGUGUAUGGAGAAUAUAGGGUUGUGUUUACAGAAUAGAAGAAAUUUUCAUUAUUAACAAAGUUUGUGAAAUUGCAUUCUGACAGCCAUUUCCUUUCUAGCCAGCCUAUAAGAAGACAGGGAAUGUAAGUUUACGAACACUUCAUUCUGUAAAGGUGCCCUAUCUAGUUGACCCCUCAUUCAUUCAUAUAUCUCUGCUUCUGGGACUUUAUCAGGCUCAGGGAAGCUCUUUGUCACCAGCCUAUACUUUUUUCCCUAUUGUUACUAAAAAGGGAUCUGAUUUUGGAUCUUGGAGUAAGCAUUCCAGCUUGGAAAAUGUUCUUUGGGAUCAGCCCUGCACAGGGCACAGCGCAGGCUCCCCUCAUCCAAUGCUCUUGCCUGCCUUGAUUGUCACUGCUUUUGGAAGCCUGUCUAUCAGUUUUAUGAUUUGCAGAUUCAUAUAAGUCUUUCUCUUCCACAUCCCCUUUGUUAUUUUUAAAUGAUAUAUAGGAAAGAAGAAAGUGACAAAACUAUGCUACUCUCUUCAACUAGGAAGUUUCUACCAAUAGAUUUGAUGUGAAGUACCAUGACACUAGGGGCUUCCCUGGUAGUUCAGCUGGUAAAGAAUUGCCUGCAAUGCAUGAUGCCCCAGUUUGUUUCCUGGGUAGGGAAAAUCCCCUGGUGAAGGGAUAGGCUACCCACUCCACUAUUUUUGGGUUUCCCUGGUGACUCAGAUGGUAAAGAAUCCACCUGUAAUGUGGGAGACCUGGGUUCAGUCCCUGGGUUAGGAAGAUCCUCUGGAGGAGGGCAUGGCAAUUCACUCCAGUGUUCUGGCCUGGAGAAUCCCCAUGGACAGAGAAGCCUGGUGGGCUACAGUCCAUGGGGUCACAAAAGGUUGGACAUAAUUGAGCGACUAAGCACAGCAGAGCAGCACCAUAAUACUAAUUUGGCUGUAACUAUAUUCUAAAUUUCAUUUUGAUUUAAUUCAUCGACUUAAUGGACAUGAAUUUGAGCAAACUCUGGGAGAUAGAGAAGGACAGGGAAGCCUGGUGUGUUGCAGUCCCUGGGAUCACAAAGAAUUGGACAUGACUUAGUGACUGAACAACAAAUGAACUUUUAGAAGUGAGUUUUUAAAUUUCCAGAUAUAAACGGUUCUUUAUUGGCUAGUGGAAGACAGGGGAUUAUCUUUUGUUUUUAUUUCUAAUUGUACUGGAUUUGGCUUUGCUGAGGCUUCCUCUCUUUCUUUUGAUUAUGUUUGUUGUUUAUUUAUAAACUACAGCAAUUAGAAAUAUUUUAAUGUCUUCAAAAAAGAAUGAUUAGUAUGUGCUACUAUGUAUACAACUAUAUAAUGGACUAUUAUGCCAACAUAUUUAUUAAAAAAUCACAGUUUCAAAGAAUAUUUAAUGACAGGAAACAUGUUGUUACUUAAAGAACUGUCAACUUACACUAGUUUUUUAAUUUAGAGAAGUGAAUUCAUUAAUAUGGAUGUGUACAUUUUAGAAAAUUGGAAUGAUUUACAAUUCAUCUUCUUUGUAUUUUAUUUGUAUUUUCCAAAUUAUCAACAUUGAGUGUAGUAUAAUUACUUAAUCAAAAGUAAAUAAGUAUUUUAAGCUCAAUUUUCUAAGAGUAAUGAAG
ensembl:lincRNA